ensembl:lncRNA
GUCAAGGUUAUGGUUUUUCCUGUGGUCAUGUGUGGAUGUGACAGUUGGACUGUGAAGAAGGCUGAGCACCGAAGAAUUGAUGCUUUUGAACUGUGGUGUUGGAGAAGACUCUUGAGAAUCCCUUGGACUGCAAGGAGAUCCAAUCAGUCCAAUCUGAAGGAGAUCAAACCUGGGAUUUCUUUUGAAGGAAUGAUGCUAAAGCUGAAACUCCAGUACUUUGGCCACCUCAUGAGAAGAGUUGACUCAUUGGAAAAGACUUUGAUGCUGGGAGGGAUUGGGGGCAGGAGAAGAAGGGGACGACCGAGGAUGAGAUGGCUGGAUGGCAUCAUGGACUCGAUGGACCAGUAACACUGGACCAUCACAAAGUUCCCUGCCAUGACACCAACAUUUAAAGAGGGAAAAGUGAGCAGAAAGUUUUAGAAAGGUCAUAAGCACGUGUUGCAGAUGUUUGGGUGCUAAGUGACACAAUGGAGGCAGCAUCCUCUUGAGCCAGUGAAUGGAGAAUGUGGACAAAAUCACAUUUAACAACCCAGUUCUUCCUUGAAAUAAAACUAAACAACUGAGGUGUGAUUCUGAGUCCUUGAGUGCUUUGUAGUCAAAAACUUCUUUCACAGGAUUUAAAUAACUUUAUGUAUCACAAUUCAUUUUUAUGAUUUAAAGAGAUGAAAAAAAAAU